UGUGCUGAAGGCGGCACGGGAGCUGAUUUUAAGUGGCACCCACACUGCCCGGGUCCUGGCCAUUGGUCCGGGGGCCUCUGCAUUUUAGUUUAAUUUUAAAUGAAGCUU